rnacentral:rRNA from 1 species
UGGGGAAUCUUGCACAAUGGGGGAAACCCUGAUGCAGCGACGCCGCGUGAACGAUGAAGCCCUUCGGGGUGUAAAGUUCUUUCGACAGGAACGAUAAUGACGGUACCUGGAGAAGAAGCUGCGGCUAACUACGUGCCAGCAGCCGCGGUGAUACGUAGGCAGCGAGCGUUGUUCGGAGUUACUGGGCGUAAAGAGUGCGUAGGCGGCGAGCCAAGUUUGGUGUGAAAUCUCCCGGCUUAACCGGGAGGGUGCGCCGAAAACUGGUUGGCUGGAGUAUGGGAGAGGAAAGCGGAAUUCCUGGUGUAGCGGUGAAAUGCGUAGAUAUCAGGAGGAACACCUGCGGUGUAGACAGCUUUCUGGACCAAAACUGACGCUGAGGCACGAAAGCGUGGGUAGCAAACA